UCGGGAAUUUUGGGCAAUGGGGGAAACCCUGACCCAGCAACGCCGCGUGGGGGAUGAAGGUCUUCGGAUCGUAAACCCCUGUCGAAUGGGACGAAAGACUCGCGAGUGAAUACUUCGCGAGAGUGACGGUACCGUUAAAGGAAGCCACGGCUAACUCUGUGCCAGCAGCCGCGGUAAUACAGAGGUGGCAAGCGUUGUUCGGAAUUACUGGGCGUAAAGGGCGCGUAGGCGGCCCUCUAAGUCAGACGUGAAAUCCCCCGGCUUAACCUGGGAACUGCGUCUGAUACUGGAGGGCUUGAGUAUGGGAGAGGGAUGUAGAAUUCCAGGUGUAGCGGUGAAAUGCGUAGAUAUCUGGAGGAAUACCGGUGGCGAAGGCGGCAUCCUGGACCAUUACUGACGCUGAGGCGCGAAAGCUAGGGGAGCAAACGGGAUUAGAUACCCAAGUAGUCCCUGAGCGGGCUGGCAAGGCGCAU
rnacentral:rRNA from 1 species